UGGUUUGGGAAGAGGGUUAGAACUAGUGAGGAUGGACAAGCCCAUUGUGGCGACCUCCUCAGAAAUAGCCGAGGCAAUAAUAGGGGGAAAAUAUAUGGAAGCGACUGGAUAACCCAGCAGAUACUUCUGUGCACUGGGGGGCAUCGAACUACCCAUCUAAAUUAAGAGAGGCUGACCUGGGGAGACUUAGGACGGAAUAUAGGAUCCCUGAUAGCAUAGAUUUGAUCCUCCCUG
rnacentral:lncRNA from 1 species